rnacentral:misc_RNA from 1 species
CAUUCCCCCCGGAGGUCAUCAAAACACUGCAUGUAUAAAGUUAAUUUAAUAAAACUUUCAACAACGGAUCUCUUGGUUCUGGCAUCGAUGAAAAACGCAGCGAAAUGCGAUAAGUAAUGUGAAUUGCAGAAUUCAGUGAAUCAUCGAAUCUUUGAACGCACAUUGCGCCCCCUGGUAUUCCGGGGGGCAUGCCUGUUCGAGCGUCAUUUCACCACUCAAGCCUCGCUUGGUAUUGGGCGUCGCGAGUCUCUCGCGCGCCUCAAAGUCUCCGGCUAGGCGGNUCGUCUCCCAGCGUUGUGGCAACUAUUCGCAGAGGAGUUCGAGUCGUCGAGGCCGUUAAAUCUUUCAAAGGUUGACCUCGG